GAUGAAGAACGUAGUGAAAUGCGAUACGUAAUGUGAAUUGCAGAAUUCAGUGAAUCAUCGAGUCUUUGAACGCACAUUGCGCCCCCUGGUAUUCCGGGGGCAUGCCUGUCCGAGCGUCAUUGCUGCCCUCAAGCACGGCUUGUGUGUUGGGCCUCCGUCCUCCUCCCGGGGGACGGGCCCGAAAGGCAGCGGCGGCACCGCGUCCGGUCCUCGAGCGUAUGGGGCUUCGUCACCCGCUCUUGUAGGCCCGGCCGGCGCUUGCCGACACAUCAAUCUUUUUUCCAGGUUGACCUCGGAUCAGGUAGGGAUACCCGCUGAACUUAAGCAUAUCAAUAAGCGGAGGA
rnacentral:misc_RNA from 1 species